ACUACCAUUACAUGUUUACAUCUAAACAUGUUUAAUAUUAUGUUUAACAACUAAACACUUCGGUCAAAAGUAUUUAAUACCUAAACACGUUUAGAAAUUAAACACGUGUUUCAUUCUUCAGUCAGUGAAAUACGGAGUUGUCUUCCCGGAAAUGAUCGAGAUAUAUUCAAACAUGAAUUAGCGCGGCUGUCGAACAAAGAAAAUCACAGCAUUAAGAAAAAAACGUUUAUCCUAUCAAAAUGAUAGAAAUUCAAGAUACUGUUGCAGAUUAAGUGAUAUACACGAGGGAUGCUUCGUGAAAACUUUGAUUUAGAAGAGAAAAAUGGUGAGGUUGAUAUUUAAGAAAGACCACACAGAAAAAACAUAUACCUCCAGCAGAAAGGCUAGGGACCAAAGAAUCACUGGAUUUGAUCAUUGGUACAUGUACAAGAAAAACAACAUUUUACUUAAAGCAAGAAACGUAAGGAUCCAGCAAAGUUGAUGAUCAUCACAGAGAAAAGAAUAGCAUUAUGAACACAAUUAUUGGAAGAGGACUGGAGAUAAUGGGGUCUACUAACUUAAACUCGCUAAACCGGGGCCUUUGUUGUGUUACAAAGCUCGGGACUUGAGAUAUCCCAAAUACUUUCAAAUUCUG